rnacentral:rRNA from 1 species
CCCUGAAUCGGGAUUACGGACAGUGCCUGGUGGGUAGUUUGACUGGGGCGGUCUCCUCCCAAAGAGUAACGGAGGAGCACGAAGGUGGGCUAAACACGGUUGGACAUCGUGUGGUUAGUGCAAUGGCAUAAGCCCGCUUGACUGCGAGAAUGACAAUUCGAGCAGGUGCGAAAGCAGGUCAUAGUGAUCCGGUGGUUCUGAAUGGAAGGGCCAUCGCUCAACGGAUAAAAGGUACUCCGGGGAUAACAGGCUGAUACCGCCCAAGAGUUCAUAUCGACGGCGG